rnacentral:rRNA from 1 species
UGAGGAAUAUUGGUCAAUGGACGCAAGUCUGAACCAGCCAAGUAGCGUGCAGGAUGACGGCCCUAUGGGUUGUAAACUGCUUUUAUACGGGGAUAAAGUGGGGAACGUGUUCCCUUUUGCAGGUACCAUAUGAAUAAGGACCGGCUAAUUCCGUGCCAGCAGCCGCGGUAAUACGGAAGGUUCGGGCGUUAUCCGGAUUUAUUGGGUUUAAAGGGAGCGUAGGCCGUUUGGUAAGCGUGUUGUGAAAUGUAGGAGCUCAACUUCUAGAUAGCAGCGCGAACUGUCAGACUUGAGUGCGGACAACGUAGGCGGAAUUCAUGGUGUAGGGGUGAAAUACGUAGAGAUUAAGAGGAACACCGGUGGCGAAAGCGGCUUUUUGGCCUGCAACUGAAACUGAAGCGCGAAAGCGUGGGGAGCAAGCAGG